GAUGAACGCUGGCGGCGUGCCUAAUACAUGCAAGUCGAGCGAACAGACGAGGAGCUUGCUCCUCUGACGUUAGCGGCGGACGGGUGAGUAACACGUGGAUAACCUACCUAUAAGACUGGGAUAACUUCGGGAAACCGGAGCUAAUACCGGAUAAUAUAUUGAACCGCAUGGUUCAAUAGUGAAAGACGGUUUUGCUGUCACUUAUAGAUGGAUCCGCGCCGCAUUAGCUAGUUGGUAAGGUAACGGCUUACCAAGGCAACGAUGCGUAGCCGACCUGAGAGGGGGAUUCGGCAACAUGGAACUGAGAAAAGGUCCAGGCUCCUACGGGAGGGAGGAGGAGGGAAUCUUUCCGCAUGGGCGGAAGCCUGAACGAGCCACGGCGCGGGAGGUAUGAAGGUCUUCGGAUUCUAAAACUCUUGUAUUAGGGAAGAACAAAUGUGUAAGUAACUAUGCACGUCUUGACGGUACCUAAUCAGAAAGCCACGGCUAACUACGUG
rnacentral:rRNA from 1 species